GAAAAAAAAUCUAGACUAAUUUAAGGUCACUUAGAUGAGAGGAAACAAAUGUGACACCAAGCCAAGAAGGAACUAAGGAGAUCAUGGAAGAAUACAGCAGUGGUGUUACUCCAGACCAGAAAUCAUAAAGGUGGCCAGAGGACUGAUUCAGGCCUGAGCUAUUCAGAUGGUACAAUGGGUCUUUUUAAUUGAAUUAAUUGCCAGCAUUUAAAAAUUGAAGUUUUUCAUAUAAAAGGUUUGCAUGGGAGCAUUAGGCUAAAACUGAAGACCAGUCAUUCCCUCCGGAUGUCGUAUAAAUUCUCUGCUCCACGUCUCUCUCUCUCAAAGCUUAGUCCCUAUUCACGUUCACUGCUAGGCCCCAGAGCCAUCUGUAUUUUGGAGCCUCUGCUCUAGAUAGUUCUUUACAGCAGCAGCUGCAGCCGCCAGGAGCCAAUGUCACAUUUUCCUGAGCUUCCUGCUCACCGUGGAAACUGAACCACUCCUGAGAAUGCUGUCAGAACGUGCACUAUGUAUCUUCUCAUGCUUUGUCAGUCCUCCCUUUGAGGAAGAAACCUAAAUCAAUACCCAGACUAGUUGGAGAAAAUAAGAUCCAUUAUGGUUGGGGUUUACAUUCCACUUAGGCUUCUGCUGCCAGACCCAGGGGUUUAAUCUGAACAGCCUGAAGGAAGGUGAGUCAGUGAGGAUGGGAUGGAAUGAAACUGAGAACUGCCCGCUGCCAAAGAUCUGCCAGUUAGAGGACCCGGCCAGCUUCCAGAAACCGCUUAAGCCUGGCUGGGGCAAGGUGGAAGAAAGGGUGCUGGUUAAAACUAAGUCCUAAUAUUUCCUUACCACCCUGCAAUGAAUUGUCUUGUGCACUUUCUGGAGCAUGUCACCCCAGGGUGGAGACCACUGGAUUAAGUCGCCAGUUCCUAAAAUUGUUGUGGGGCCGCGUGGUGAGAGUACCAGAUGUUCACAUCCACAGGAAUUUGGAUGGUCCUCGCUGAUCCAAUCCAGCGGGUGACGGAUUGCCGCCCGGUACGUUCCCAAGGCUGCUGAGGUCCCAACUGAUCCUCUAACCCACCUCACUCAUUAAUACACUCUCAUCACGUUUUAUUCUUCCUUUAUAGCACUUAUAAUAAUUUGGAAUCACAAAUAUAUUUGUGUGUUUUCUGUUUAACAUCUGUCUCCCCGACAGACCCUAAGCUCUACAGAGAGAGGACACUUGGGGCAUUUAUAGCUGCUGUGUGGCCCAGCCAAGUGGAUGCCAUUUAGCAUGUGCUCAGUAAAGACUUAUUAGAGGAAAGGAAGGAAAUGAAAAAAGGGCAGAAUUGAUUCUUCCACAAAUACAUUGGAACAUAUAUAUUUUCAGAGUACUGAGAAAGCAAGAGAAAUUUCCUAGGAAACAGAUUUUAGCAAAAUUAUUGGUGAACUUCCCUAAUAAUACCUGCCAGUGAGACAGACCACUAAAUAUGUCUGUAAUUACAGGAAAAAGAAAAAAAAUGUCAACUAUGCCAGGCCAGCAAUUUUUUUUUAAGUGCUCAAAAGAAUUUAAGUGCUCUUAUGCUCUUGGAUCAUGAUAAAUGCUAAAAAAAAAAAAUUUUGUUGAAAGACCAAAUGAAUGAACAAAUGACUGAACAAAGUGUAAGAGACCAGAAAAUAUUAAACACUAAAGCAAUAAAAAUAAUGUUCAGUGAUAAACUAGCUAAAUA
rnacentral:lncRNA from 1 species